AGCGCAGACGGUUACUUAAGCAGGAUGUGAAAUCCCCGGGCUCAACCUGGGAACUGCGUUCUGAACUGGGUGACUAGAGUGUGUCAGAGGGAGGUAGAAUUCCACGUGUAGCAGUGAAAUGCGUAGAGAUGUGGAGGAAUACCGAUGGCGAAGGCAGCCUCCUGGGAUAACACUGACGUUCAUGCUCGAAAGCGUGGGUAGCAAACAGGAUUAGAUACCCUGGUAGUCCACGCCCUAAACGAUGUCAAUUAGCUGUUGGGCAACUUGAUUGCUUAGUAGCGUAGCUAACGCGUGAAAUUGACCGCCUGGGGAGUACGGUCGCAAGAUUAAAACUCAAAGGAAUUGACGGGGACCCGCACAAGCGGUGGAUGAUGUGGAUUAAUUCGAAGCAACGCGAAGAACCUUACCAGGUCUUGACAUCCCUCUGACCGCUCUAGAGAUAGAGUUUUCCUUCGGGACAGAGGUGACAGGUGGUGCAUGGUUGUCGUCAGCUCGUGUCGUGAGAAG
rnacentral:rRNA from 1 species